GAUGAACGCUGGCGGCGUGCCUAAUACAUGCAAGUCGAACGCAUUGUGGUUGAAAUGAUAUGAAGAACUUGUUCAGAUUUGAUUUUCAACAUUGCAAUGAGUGGCGAACGGGUGAGUAACACGUGGGAAACCUACCUCUUAGCAGGGGAUAACAUUUGGAAACAAAUGCUAAUACCGUAUAAUAAUUAAAACCGCAUGGUUUUAGUUUAAAAGAUGGUCUUGCUAUCACUAAGAGAUGGUCCCGCGGUGUAUUAGUUAGUUGGUGAGGUAAUGGCUCACCAAGACAAUGAUACAUAGCCGAGUUGAGAGACUGACCGGCCACAAUGGGACUGAGACACGGCCCAUACUCCUACGGGAGGCAGCAGUAGGGAAUCUUCCACAAUGGACGAAAGUCUGAUGGAGCAACGCCGCGUGUGUGAUGAAGGGUUUCGGCUCGUAAAACACUGUUGUAAGAGAAGAAUGACAUUGAGAGUAACUGUUCAAUGUGUGACGGUAUCUUACCAGAAAGGAACGGCUAAAUACGUGCCAGCAGCCGCGGUAAUACGUAUGUUCCAAGCGUUAUCCGGAUUUAUUGGGCGUAAAGCGAGCGCAGACGGUUAUUUAAGUCUGAAGUGAAAGCCCUCGGCUCAACCGAGGAAUUGCUUUGGAAACUGGAUAACUUGAGUGCAGUAGAGGAAAGUGGAACUCCAUGUGUAGCGGUGAAAUGCGUAGAUAUAUGGAAGAACACCAGUGGCGAAGGCGGCUUUCUGGACUGUAACUGACGUUGAGGCUCGAAAGUGUGGGUAGCAAACAGGAUUAGAUACCCUGGUAGUCCACACUGUAAACGAUGAGUGCUAGUUGUUCGAGGG
rnacentral:rRNA from 1 species